rnacentral:rRNA from 1 species
UACGGGGGGAGCAAGCGUUGUUCGGAUUUACUAGGCGUAAAGGGCGCGUAGGCGGCCACCGCAAGUCGGUUGUGAAAUCUCCGGGCUUAACCCGGAAAGGUCAAUCGAUACUGCGGGGCUAGAGUGCAGAAGGGGCAACUGGAAUUCUCGGUGUAGCGGUGAAAUGCGUAGAUAUCGAGAGGAACACCUGCGGCGAAGGCGGGUUGCUGGGCUGACACUGACGCUGAAGCGCGAAAGCUAGGGGAGCGAACGGG